GCAGACUAAGGAGGAAGGGAGAACAGAUAAAGACGAGACAGUGAGAAAGAACAGAAGAAAAAAAAUCCCCCCUCCCUACUUUUCUCCUGACCACUCUCUACCCAGUGCUGCCUGGGCCUGUGGCUGUGGCUGAUGACCUCCCUCCCCGCCUCCACCUGAUCCAGCAGACCCAGUGGACGCCCUUCUCUACACCCCACUGCGCCUCCCCUCACGUAUGAAUCUCCCCUAGUAGUAGCAGCGGUGGACAAACUGCUCUCUGGACUGGCCAUGCUGGCGGUGGGAAUGACGUGAACUCCCAGACCACAGAGGAAGGGUGCGGCUGGGGGAGCCAGACAAGCGGACAGAAAGAGUCACAACCCGUUCCUCGAGGGCGCUCCCCCAACCAGCCCAGACGACGAUAAGACUCAGAAACUACAAGCUGCUCAGUUGACAUUCUACCAGGGGGCCGCACUGGCAGCUGUUGGAGGGGGUGCGAGUGGUGGAAGAAUCUGCUACAACUGUCAAAAACCAGGCCAUUUCACCGCAAGCUGCACUCAAACUGCCCAGCAGCCGAGGGGAAGAGGCAGAGGCAGAUCAAGAGGUAGAGGAGCCCCAAGGGGGGCCCCUCGAGUGGGAGGCCCAGCGGGAGGACAAGGACUGUGGUAUCCCCCUGCUCAACAGCCAUUGCAUCCGCCAACCAACCAAUGGCCAGGGCCACCCCAACAGGGGGCGCUUCAGCAACAAUGGGGCCCACAAGGGGGCCCUCAAGGCAGAGGCCAGCCUGGCAUAUGGGGCCGCCGGCACAGACGACCCUGUACAAAUCCAGGAGAGGAGGAGGAGGGAGAAUAUUGACGGGCGGAGGGGGAAGUAGUAGUUGAGUUAGAAUCGUCAGAGCAACCAGAACAUUUGUUUUUAAAGAGCCAUACCCUUCCUCGAAUCGAGCCAACAGUGGAGACAUCAAUGCAGGUAUGCAUUUGGGGUUGUGCAUGACUUCGGUAUGCUCUGGAAGCAACGUGGGCUCCUCACCUCAUCUGGAUGUGUCUGACCUGCAGUCUACAAAAUAUACUGGCCUGCCGGCCUUGCCUAGGUCCUGAUUCCCAUGUGACAAAGAGGGGAGUAGUGGGAAUGUUCCUGUAUUUGCGGAGCAAUUUUGUGCAAAAUGUGUAAACCCCUUUCCCACAGAACAGAUUGACACUGAUGGGUUGCGAAGAUCAAAUGGUAAGCUACUGUGCUGCACUUAAUGUUCUGAAGUCUAUUCUCCCCAGGAUAAAAGCGGCUUUGCCUGAACCAAAGGGAGGACAGCUCCACAAAUUGCAGCCAGGAGAUUGGGUGGUCAUCAAGGACCUCCGCAGAAAGACUUGGCACCAACAGCGCUGGACGGGUCCAUUCCAGGUGCUCCUGACGGUUGCAGAGAGGUCGACGUGGGUUCAUGUCAGCCACUGCAGGAAGGUGCACCACAACCCAGACGAAGAUGCACCAGCCGAUGAAUCAUCAUAGGCGACCACAGUGGCCAUGGGAGGACCAGAACCGGACUCUACACAUCAUGUUUGUUGCUUUCGUGGUCAGUCUUCUCAUUGCAGCUGUUGUAUGGGCCCUGGGAGAAGUGGCCACAAUGCAAUUGAAGAAUACCAGCACAGUCCCAUGGCGGGACUUAAAUAACAGCCACUCCAGCUCGAGCCAACGGCAGGCUCAGGACAGGAGUCCAGCAAACAAUAGCCGCCCCAUUGAUUAAGAAGACUGAGAUCGAUGCAUCAACGUGAUGAUUGUCCUCCUUGUACAGAUGAAGAGUUCACUUCUGUAUAACUUUUUAAUUGUCUAAAUGAUUCCCUUAAGAAUGUUUUGCACCAUGUGAAGGUAAAGUUAGAGUAAGAAUUCACAUUUUAAAUGAUUUGGACUGAUUCAGUUUUAGCAAAGGGAAAGCUAAUGAAAUGUUUAUGUUGUGAAUAUUUGUUAAUGGUGUUAAUACUGUGUUUGAUUUAUUGUGUGUUUUGUUUUUGGUUUAGUGGAUUUUUCACAGGUUAGAAAUCAUACACCUUAAAGGGCACAUAAAUUACAUUUUCUGAGGUUUCUAUUGCCAGAGUUUUGGUUGCACACAUGUAGAUUAUCCUGAUAACAAAUGUACUGAAAAACCCAAUGUAAACCUGGUACACAAAUUGUCUGAAAUGUCUUUAACUAAUGUCUGACGGUCCAGGAUAAACACUAAUGAGUAGGAAAAAGUGUAUAAUUUAGCAAUAGUCCUAUGUGUGAUUCGGAUCAUGUAUUGAUUUUGUUGUUCAUCCUCAUGUUGAAGUUUUGCUGCAAUAUGUCUUAAAACUGGUAACAAAUUCAAGGCCAAAUGUAAUGUUAAAUGUUGCCAUAUCCAGGGCCAGAAUACAGGAUGUGAAGGAUUAGCUGAGCUAUCUUUUACUGCUGAGGACUGUGAUGUUUGACCUGGUGCAUACCUAGAGAUGUGCCUGUUGUAGACAGAGGUUUGCUCACAAUGUCAUUGGCUGAACACCCAGACGCUGUGAUUGCCAGGUGUUCUCUCCUAGGCAGCCGCACUCUGGGAGCAAACGCUUUUCUGAGAAAGGAUGCACUUGGCUAUUUUGGUUAUGCCUAAUCAUCAGCAGACACUGGCAAGUUAGAACUGUAUAUGGUAUGUGUAGAAUGUAAAAGGUUUGAGACUCAGUAACCCGAAGGGAGGUUCCUCAUAAGGAUGACAUACAUGUCAUAUGUUACAUCUGGAAGAUUUUAUAUAUAUAUAUUUAUUUUUUAUUUUUGCAUAUGGUGUGAAUUUGUCAUAUUAUUUUAUAGAAGAUUGAAUCUUCUAAGAGGGGAAUAUGAGAGAAAGAUAAUUUACCUGAUUUGUUUAAUAUUAAUAGUAAAAAAUUAAUAUUCUUGACAAUAGUAGAUACAUUUCUUUAGAGCAAAUGCUGUGCUUCUGAGAAAGGACGGUUCCCUCUAGCUCCCUGCAGCUGGUCUGGGCUUGUAGUCAAGGUCAUGGGCUAGAGAUUAACUUGAGGAACAGAUAGACCUGUAUUGUUUCAAUUUCUCGUUGCUUCUGAGUAACCUGGUCACACGGUGUAAGACAAAGAGCC